CACGUAGGGUCCAAGCGUUGUCCGGAUUUAUUGGGCGUAAAGAGCUCGUAGGCGGCUUGGUAAGUCGAGUGUGAAAACUCUGGGCUCAACUCAGAGACGCCACUCGAUACUGCCAUGGCUUGAGUCCGGUAGGGGAGUGUGGAAUUCCCGGUGUAGCGGUGAAAUGCGCAGAUAUCGGGAGGAACACCGGUGGCGAAGGCGGUUCUCUGGGCCUUACCUGACGCUGAGGAGCGAAAGCGUGGGGAGCGAACAGG
rnacentral:rRNA from 1 species